UGGUGACGACAUUUACUGUCUGAGCUGGGUGGGGCCGCAGAGACCAGUGAGAAGCGACUGUUUACUAAAAACACAGGUCCGUGCGAAGUCGUAAGACGAUGUAUACGGACUGACGCCUGCCCGGUGCUGGAAGGUUAAGAGGACCGGUUAGUUCCUUCGGGAGCGAAGCUGAGAAUUUAAGCCCCAGUAAACGGCGGUGGUAACUAUAACCAUCCUAAGGUAGCGAAAUUCCUUGUCGGGUAAGUUCCGACCUGCACGAAUGGCGUAACGACUUCUCAGCUGUCUCAACCGUAGACUCGGCGAAAUUGCAUUACGAGUAAAGAUGCUCGUUACGCGCGGCAGGACGAAAAGACCCCGGGACCUUCACUACAGCUUGGUAUUGGUGUUCGGUUCGGUUUGUGUAGGAUAGGUGGGAGACUGUGAAACGGUGACGCCAGUUAUCGUGGAGUCGUUGUUGAAAUACCACUCUGAUCGAAUUGGACCUCUAACCUCGGACCAUGAUCUGGUUCAGGGACAGUGCCUGGUGGGUAGUUUAACUGGGGCGGUUGCCUCCCAAAAUGUAACGGAGGCGCCCAAAGGUUCCCUCAGCCUGGUUGGCAAUCAGGUGUCGAGUGCAAGUGCACAAGGGAGCUUGACUGUGAGACUGACAGGUCGAGCAGGGACGAAAGUCGGGACUAGUGAUCCGGCACCGGCAAGUGGAAGCGGUGUCGCUCAACGGAUAAAAGGUACCCCGGGGAUAACAGGCUGAUCUUCCCCAAGAGUCCAUAUCGACGGGAUGGUUUGGCACCUCGAUGUCGGCUCGUCGCAUCCUGGGGCUGGAGUAGGUCCCAAGGGUUGGGCUGUUCGCCCAUUAAAGCGGCACGCGAGCUGGGUUUAGAACGUCGUGAGACAGUUCGGUCUCUAUCCGCCGCGCGCGUUAGAAACUUGAGGAAGGCUGUCCCUAGUACGAGAGGACCGGGACGGACGAACCUCUGGUGUGCCAGUUGUUCCGCCAGGAGCACCGCUGGUUAGCUACGUUCGGAAGGGAUAACCGCUGAAAGCAUCUAAGCGGGAAGCCUGUUCCAAGAUGAGGUUUCUCACCCCCUCGAGGGGGUAAGGCCCCCGGCAGACCACCGGGUUGAUAGGCCAGAACUGGAAGUGCAGUAAUGCAUGCAGGUGACUGGUACUAAUAGGCCGAGGACUUACCACA
rnacentral:rRNA from 1 species